rnacentral:rRNA from 1 species
CCUACGGGUGGCAGCAGUGAGGAAUAUUGGUCCAUGGCCGGACGGCUGAACCAGCCAAGCCGCGUGAAGGACGACGGUCCCAAGCAUUGUAAACCUCUUUUGUCAAGGGACAAAAUCAGGCUCGAGAGCCUGACCGAGGGUACUUGAAGAAAAAGCAUCGGCUAACUCCGUGCCGGCAGCCGCGGUAAUACGGAGGAUGCGAGCGUUAUCCGGAUUUAUUGGGUUUAAAGGGUGCGUAGGCGGGCUGUUAAGUCAGCGGUAAAAGCGCGGGGCUCAACCCCGGCGAGCCGUUGAAACUGGCUGUCGUGAGAUGGCGAGAGGUAUGCGGAAUGCGCAGUGUAGCGGUGAAAUGCUUAGAUAUUGCGCAGAACUCCGAUUGCGAAGGCAGCAUACCGGCGGCAAGCUGACGCUGAGGCACGAAAGCGUGGGUAUCGAACAGGAUUAGAUACCCGUGUAGUC